rnacentral:misc_RNA from 1 species
AGUUCCUAGGCAUUCACCAUAGACUCUUAUUACUUUGACCAUAUUUUUAUCUUCCAUCUCUAUUUUGCCAAUUUGUUUAUACAACAUAAAAUAAUAUAUAUCUUUGUUCAAUCCAUGUCAAUAUCUAUUUUAUUUUUUACAUUAUUUGAAUUAAAUAUUCAAAAACAUGAAUAUUUAAAAAACAUAAAAAAUAAAUUUAAGGUUUGAAGUACAAAAUAAAAACCUCAUGGCAAUAACUUACUCUCCCGCGAACUCGCAG